rnacentral:misc_RNA from 1 species
AAGGAUCAUUAAAGAGUAAGGGUGCUCAGCGCCCGACCUCCAACCCUUUGUUGUUAAAACUACCUUGUUGCUUUGGCGGGACCGCUCGGUCUCGAGCCGCUGGGGAUUCGUCCCAGGCGAGCGCCCGCCAGAGUUAAACCAAACUCUUGUUAUUUAACCGGUCGUCUGAGUUAAAAUUUUGAAUAAAUCAAAACUUUCAACAACGGAUCUCUUGGUUCUC